UAAGGUCAGAUGUUCGUUCUAAGUCAGAAGUAAGAAAGGAACAAGAUUUACAGAAGAAAUGAUUUUUCUGACACGUCAUGGUCAUCCGCAGCCAGCAGGUAUUAAUAGACGGCAUUCAAUUGAGCUACAAGACCUGUAAAUGAGAUAUGAGGAAGUUUGUGAACCAAAUGAUGGACACAGUGAAACACCAAGACUACGUCCCUGAAGACCUUCAUCCUUUUCUCUUAUCAACUAUACGUACUGUAAUAAAUUUCUUUGCUACUGCUAAAAAGGAUUUCCUCUCGCCAAGUCGUUUUCUUCUUGAUAGGGCGGGAAUAUGUAAAAUAUAAAAUAAAAAAAUCAAUCUCUAAUAAAUUACUAACUUAAUUAGGAAUA